GGAUAUUAUACACCAUAGAAGCAUGGUGGGUGUUAUCUGGACCUUCCAUGUAAGCAUUGGGAUACGAGCUGUUCCAGCUGCACCUCUGAUGGUAUACGUAUUUUUUGGCAUGUGUAUGUAUAUGUAUGCACAUGUUCCAAGAUGCACAGCUGGCCUGGCGGCCGAUUAGAUGAGUUGGGAUGGAUGGUGGAGGGCUCAUUUCAAAAUCAUUUGAAACCCCAGUCUCGCUCUCUCGUCUCUGGUUCGUCCUCCCUCUCUCCUCUCCCUACAGACGACAACUCAGAUCCGGAUGCUGCAACAAGGUAACCGCCAGAUCCAUCGACAUCGAGGCUAGAUCUGGCGAUGGUGGUGCCGGAUCUGAGGCACCGGGGUCCUGCGAGGCCGGCGCUGGGUUCCUAUGGGCUAUGGCGGAGCCCCCGCCGCCGAGAGGGGCGUGGAAAUCCUCGGUGGUGGUACCUGCAAGGGCCCACUCUCUCGCCCCUCUGGUAGGCCGCCGGCUGCUGCAGCUACUGGUGGUUGUCGUCAACCGUCUCGCCAUUGCCCUCGACGGCGCGGCGGUGGCACUAGCGGGAGGACGGGGCACGGCGUGGUGGCCCCGGCUGCGCAGGAGGCAGGGGCACUGCGCCGCAGCGGCCAUCGGAGUCCGGCGCCGCGGUCCGGGUGGCGCGGAGGGCGGGGCACUGGCGGUGCUGUGCACGGCCGCAGGGCGCUACCGUGGCUGGCGGCGUUGCGAGCAGCGGUGUGGCACGACCGCGACUGGCGGCGGGAAGCGGCGGCCUGCGACGCUGCGCACGGCGCGACCGCGUGCAGCGGCAGGGGCUGGACGUCCAUGGCGGCGCGGGUAAGCUGAUGCGGAUGACCUCCAGGGCCGCCUACGCCUACGCCACUCCUUCAGUUCUAGCACGACGCGCGCCGGCGCCGACCCCCGCCCUCCUCGGCGCCUCCGCGGCUCUUCUCGGCCUCGCGCCCCGCCCUCCUCGGCGCCUCCACGGCCGCCGCUUCGGGGCCAGUCGGCGCCUCCCGGGCCGCCUCCUCCUGCGCAUCUCGAAGGGGUCUGGGUCUGUGCUCGGCCACACGGCCGGGGGCUGCUCGCCGCCUCCCAAGGGUGCAGUGGUGCGUCGCCGCUGCCCAGAAGCGAGACGAAAAGGCCGCCGCUCCGACCGCCCAUGGCCUCGUCAUGCGCGAGGGCCGCCUUUGCCUGGUCCGCUCCCUGGGAGAUGCCACGCGCAGCACCUCCGCCGCCGCUUGCCUCGCGACCAGCCCGCGCGGGGAGCUCCCUCCUGUUGAGGGUGGAGGGUGAUGUCGGAGCUGGCUGGGCAUAGGUGGCGGUUUGCAGAUAAAGAUUGAGGAGGGAGGGGGCUAUGCCGCCUGAGAGGGCGAAUGGGGUGGAGGGGGGUUCUCUGAAUGGCUCUACUGCAUGGAUGCAUGCCACCUGCUUGCACAUGGAUGUACUCUAUUAAUUAAGUACCUCAUUCAAUUCUGUUCUAUCCAUUUUGAUUUCUUAGUAUGUGUUAUUAGUGAUGGCUCACAAGGGUGUUUGUACAUCAGUGGUGUCCCAAGUAUAUAACACAAGAUGAAAAAUUGCAAAAGAUUAUUAAAAAUAGGAUCAAAUGUUUGUUUAGACUAUGUUUGGUACAACACUAAAGAGUAUAAAAUGCGGCACUGGUACAGUUGAGUAGAGUACCUUAGUACUGUAUAUUAUCAAUGUGGUAAUCCAAGUACAAAGAGAGGAGUACCUGCUGGUACCUAUUUUGAUUUGUGUGAUUAUAAUUUAUUUUUAUGUACACAAUAUUUUAUUGUACAAGAGAAGAGAGCUUAGAUGAAUAUUAUUUUAUUUUAUUAAU